UUUAAAAUACAUUUUCACACCCAAGGCUCUUCCGACAUCGGCCAGGUCGGAAACAUUUCUCUGCCGUGGAAUGGAGGAUAUUCUUCUCAGUCCUGGCGAGACGGAUGACGACCUGCAUGUUUACGUCAACUGAGGACAGUUUACGGCACUCCAUUCUCCUCCUGGCGGCGCUUACGCUGGUCCGCAAAACGUCGACAGCAACAGGAAGAAAAACAAUUUGAAAAAGUUUAAUUGUUUUAAAUAACAAAGAUUAAAUUGCUUUGUUUAUACAUUGGUGACCACUUGUAGGACUUGUAUUUGACUGUUCUGAGGUAACAUAAUCUGUUGUACAGGGAUGGGAUGAGGAAUGAAUGAUGUGCGUUUUGUUGUUUUCUUUCUUUCAAACACUUGCAUAAUAAAAUGCAUGGAAUUUCUUCACAGGCGUUAAAUAGCUUCCCUGGAGACCUGAUUCACUCACUAUAACUUUGCAGUUAUGGUCUGUGUUGAUUUGUGAUCCAUAUUAUCUGGUAAAACAAGUAUGUCGUAAGCUCCUCAUGCGAUGUAUUAAAAUUGUGUGAGUGAAUAAACUGAAUGAGAAAAGCGAGGGAGAAGACAACCAGGCCAGUUGAUGUUCAACAACAAUGAAGUACAUUUUUUGACAAUCA